rnacentral:rRNA from 1 species
CUCUGGAUUCAGCGGCGGACGGGUGAGUAAUGCCUAGGAAUCUGCCUGGUAGUGGGGGACAACGUUUCGAAAGGAACGCUAAUACCGCAUACGUCCUACGGGAGAAAGCAGGGGACCUUCGGGCCUUGCGCUAUCAGAUGAGCCUAGGUCGGAUUAGCUAGUUGGUGAGGUAAUGGCUCACCAAGGCGACGAUCCGUAACUGGUCUGAGAGGAUGAUCAGUCACACUGGAACUGAGACACGGUCCAGACUCCUACGGGAGGCAGCAGUGGGGAAUAUUGGACAAUGGGCGAAAGCCUGAUCCAGCCAUGCCGCGUGUGUGAAGAAGGUCUUCGGAUUGUAAAGCACUUUAAGUUGGGAGGAAGGGUUGUAGAUUAAUACUCUGCAAUUUUGACGUUACCGACAGAAUAAGCACCGGCUAACUCUGUGCCAGCAGCCGCGGUAAUACAGAGGGUGCAAGCGUUAAUCGGAAUUACUGGGCGUAAAGCGCGCGUAGGUGGUUCGUUAAGUUGGAUGUGAAAUCCCCGGGCUCAACCUGGGAACUGCAUCCAAAACUGGCGAGCUAGAGUAUGGUAGAGGGUGGUGGAAUUUCCUGUGUAGCGGUGAAAUGCGUAGAUAUAGGAAGGAACACCAGUGGCGAAG